AAACACCGAACGUUUGGGGAAUCGUCCGGGUUGUUGCUGGCCUCUUCGUUGAGGUAUAUGUGCACGCCUUGACCCCUGGCGUUUCAGUCCUUUCUUCACACCUUGUGCACCAACUGUAGCUGGGGAUGAUCACGAAGCCUUUUGGUUUCGAAUGCCUCGGCUAUGAAGUUUUUACGAACGCUUUGUUAAAGUCUAUUAGAACGUUUGUAACCGCGUCUGACGCGAAUUGAAUACAACUUUCAGCAACGGAUCUCUUGGCUCUCGCAUCGAUGAAGAACGCAGCGAAAUGCGAUAAGUAAUGUGAAUUGCAGAAUUCAGUGAAUCAUCGAAUCUUUGAACGCACCUUGCGCUCCUUGGUAUUCCGAGGAGCAUGCCUGUUUGAGUGUCAUGAAAUUCUCAACUGCCCUCUUUUCUUAAGAGGGUGAAGUUGGAUUUGGAGCGCUUUGCUGGCCUUUUGUUACCGGCUGCUCCUAAAAGCAUUCCAAGCCUUUUGUUAUCUUGGCGCAAAGUAUCUUUGACGUGAUAAUGAUCUACGUCGCAGAGAAAGCCUAGGAGGGGGUUUGUUAAAGUA
rnacentral:misc_RNA from 1 species